rnacentral:tRNA from 1 species
GAGGGUACAGCUCAGUGGUAGAGUGUGUAUUUAGCAUGCAUAAGGUCCUGGGUUCAAUCCCCAGUAUCUCCA